GACGAACGCUGGCGGCAUGCCUAAUACAUGCAAGUCGAGAGAACAGAUGAAGUGCUUGCACUUCUGACGUUAGCGGCGAACGGGUGAGUAACACGUAAGGAAUCUACCUAUAAGCGGGGGAUAACAUUCGGAAACGGGUGCUAAUACCGCAUAAUAUCUUCUUCCGCAUGGACGGAGAUUGAAAGACGGCUCUGCUGUCACUUAUAGAUGACCUUGCGGUGCAUUAGUUAGUUGGUGGGGUAACGGCCUACCAAGACGAUGAUGCAUAGCGGACCUGGGAGGGUGAUCGGCCACAUUGGGACUGAGACACGGCCCAAACUCCUACGGGAGGCAGCAGUAGGGAAUUUUCCGCAAUGGGCGAAAGCCUGACGGAGCAAUGCCGCGUGAGUGAAGAAGGCCUUCGGGUCGUAAAACUCUGUUAGAAGAGAAGAACAAAUUGUAGAGUAACUGCUACAGUCUUGACGGUAUCUUAUCAGAAAGCCACGGCUAACUACGUGCCAGCCGCCGCCGUAA
rnacentral:rRNA from 1 species